rnacentral:lncRNA from 1 species
UUAACUCAGAUUAUCAGUAAUCACAAUAAUUGAGAAAGAUGAAUUUUCUUAAACAAGCAAUACAUCAUUUAUCAUAAUUUAAUUUUCACAUGCAACUCAAAUUGAACUUGAUUAAUCGAAUGAUCAAUCUAAAAACAAGAGUUCAUACAAUAAUAAUCGCACAAGAGAAUAUUCAAAUGACUAGAUCUAUCUCAUACCUAAACUUUAAUCAUG